rnacentral:rRNA from 1 species
ACGCUCGACACCUACGGUAGGCAGCAGUAGGGAAUCUUCCACAAUGGGCGCAAGCCUGAUGGAGCAACACCGCGUGAGUGAAGAAGGGUUUCGGCUCGUAAAGCUCUGUUGUUGGAGAAGAACGUGCGUGAGAGUAACUGUUCACGCAGUGACGGUAUCCAACCAGAAAGUCACGGCUAACUACGUGUCAGCAGCCGCGGUAAUCUGAGCGGGCUGGCAAGGC